GAUGAACGCUGGCGGCGUGCCUAAUACAUGCAAGUCGAGCGAACAGACGAGGAUCUUGCUCCUCUGACGUUAGCGGCGGACGGGUGAGUAACACGUGGAUAACCUACCUAUAAGACUGGGAUAACUUCGGGAAACCGGAGCUAAUACCGGAUAAUAUAUUGAACCGCAUGGUUCAAUAGUGAAAGACGGUUUUGCUGUCACUUAUAGAUGGAUCCGCGCCGCAUUAGCUAGUUGGUAAGUUAACGGCUUACCAAGGCAACGAUGCGUAGCCGACCUGAGAGGGUGAUCGGCCACACGGGAACUGAGACACGGUCCAGACUCCUACGGGAGGCAGCAGUAGGGAAUCUUCCGCAAUGGGCGAAAGCCUGGCGGAGCAACGCCGAGUGAGUGAUGAAGGUCUUCGGAUCGUAAAACUCUGUUAUUAGGGAAGAACAAAUGUGUAAGUAACUAUGCACGUCUUGACGGUAACUAAUCAGAAAGCCACGGCUAACUACGUG
rnacentral:rRNA from 1 species